rnacentral:rRNA from 1 species
AUUGAACGCUGGCGGCAGGCCUAACACAUGCAAGUCGAACGAGUGGCGGACGGGUGAGUAAUGUCUGGGAAACUGCCCGAUGGAGGGGGAUAACUACUGGAAACGGUAGCUAAUACCGCAUACCAUCGGAUGUGCCCAGAUGGGAUUAGCUAGUAGGUGGGGUAACGGCUCACCUAGGCGACGAUCCCUAGCUGGUCUGAGGGGAUGACCAGCCACACGGGAACUGAUACACGGUCCAAACUCCUACGAGAGGAAGCAGUGGGUAAUAUUGCACAAUGGGCGAAAGCCUGAUGCGGCCAUGCCGCGUGUAUGAAGAAGGCCUUCGGGUUGUAAAGUACUUUCAGCGGGGGGGCGUUACUCGCAGAAGAAGCACCGGCUAACUCCGUGCCAGCAGCCGCGGUAAUUC